GAAACCGGAGCUAAUACCGGAUAAUAUUUUGAACCGCAUGGUUCAAAAGUAAAAGACGGUCUUGCUGUCACUUAUAGAUGGAUCCGCGCUGCAUUAGCUAGUUGGUAAGGUAACGGCUUACCAAGGCAACGAUGCAUAGCCGACCUGAGAGGGUGAUCGGCCACACUGGAACUGAGACACGGUCCAG
rnacentral:rRNA from 1 species